AGGUCUGUAGAAGAAGUGCUUGGGGUCGAAACACGGCCAGACUCCCAGGUACUUUUUC
rnacentral:ncRNA from 1 species